AGCAAAUUGAGUAACCAAAAUUGUUUUGUUUAGUUUCGACAGGAAGUUUGAGUACGCAGCGAUGAUGUCUUUCGGGUGUCCCGAGGACGAGCUCUUCGGGCAAAUCUUUAGAGCAAGAGGGACCGCGCAAACGCAUACUGGAAAGGUUAACAAGAAUUUCCUGUUAGAUUACCUUUCGCCCUCGUCCAUCUCCUUUUCAAGUCUGAUUCUCCUUCGGUGACUUUCUUUGACGUGUUUGCGUGACCUGGUUAACCGAAGCAAACUGGGCGACACCACAGUGCAUUCUGUCCUUCGAUUAAAGAAUAUGUCUGCGCGUGGUGCAACACACUCAUAUCGCUCCAGUCUCUGAAUGCAUCCGAUGUUAUCACUGUAUCGUGUUAACCGCCGUGGGACCAGUUCAAACGGAGGGUUCCUUAGACAUUUUCACGGACAGCAUCGCUCUUGGAGGUUAAAAAAGCGAACUUGCUUUGUGUUUGUUGAACCACUCAUACCCUGUCCCUUGUUUGGGUCACUCCUAUUUUGUUCAUCCGUCAAAGAAAAUCAGGACUGGAACGCCCAAGUAAGCGCAAACACUGAGCAUUCUGUCACUGUUCCGUGUAUUCUGAAGGGGGUAUGUGGCCUGCACCUGGACUAGGGUUACAAGCAUGCUGACAAUGGGGAGAGGUCGUAUUCUUAGUGGUACUCUCGCACAGCUAAUAAACAACACUGAGGCUGACUGAACGAAGAGAUGCUCGGAAGGUGGUAGGGUGAACUGCUGUAUCCUAAGUCUGUUACUUUACCGUGCUGUUGGCCUGCAUGCGCAGAGAAGUUUACCUACAAAUUUGAGUAUGAGCCACACAGACACCCAUGCGAAUGAAAAGGGUGCUUACGUGCUUCUUACUUUAUAGCAUGUCUCUUAUUUAUGGAGAGGUCGCUGUCUGGACACGAUGCUGCCUAAUCAGAAAAGCCUCGUGUUCCAACAAAACACAGGCUGCUCCUGUUUGGGAACUUGCGGUCCGAAUCCAAGACAUAGAAUUCUGACAGUAUUUCUCUUACCUCGAUCGGAAUCACGCGUCACUUAAAAAUUGAAUGCUAUACACCAGGGGAUACAGAAAUUGCUGUACGCUAUUGCAGUGGUUUUUUAAAGUGGAAUCUUCUCUAUACUCGAGCGGUGGCGUGAAUUCCAGCUAUGUAGCAAUUACAACAGAAUAUCCUCUCCUGUAUACAAAAGUAAAUGUAGAUACGGACAUGCACAGCAUGUGGUAACACAUCAAUGGAGGCAAUGCAUUCACUUAGAAGUACGCAGAACGUUUUUUCUGAAGACGAUCGAAUGAAGCACCUCCCUUGGUUUUUCUGAUAGUAGACAUCGAUAAGGAGGCCCACCACCAGCCACUGCUUGUAAUGAUACUGAUGUGUGUUGACUACAGUGUGUGGCUGUGCUCCACUUUCACUAAAACUGAACCACCACAGUAUCGUAGUUUCGAACCCACUAACGGGAACCCCAAUGUUUAAGUUGCAGUGGCUACGGAGGGUGUGACACCCUCAGAAACAGAGAAAAUGCGUUGCCGGAAAUUCCAACUGAAGAGCCUCGGAGAUAAGAAAUAAGACAAGCAAAACAUGUGUGAUUCCGUGGCGAGAGUAGGCGUGAACUGUAUUUUGAGACGAUUUCUGGAGAUUUUGACACGCAAACGCUUCUUGAAAUGUUUCGCUCGUGAGCCGUUGUUUCCAGGUUGAUUCAUCGAUCGCGCGCUUGUGACGCAUUCUCUUCCAGUGCAAGCUUCCCCAUAAUUUUGCCCAGCGUGACGACUCGAGAGAGAUCACAAUUCAUCGCCAAUGCAUAUGUCGUCAAAGAACGGGUGUCUGAGGGCUUCCUUUGCCGUUAUUCGCUUGUCCGGCAUCACCUCAAGCAACCUGAUUCAAAACCGAAAGCAACCAGGUCCAACGCUUCUCAGUUUUUCUUUUUCGCCAGGUUCUCUUUCUGUUAAACUCCAUACAAGCCCAACGCCCGAAAUUGUGCAGCCACGCCAUUACGACCGUUAUUUAUUACAAAAACUAGUGUGUUUCUUUCUGUAUUGUUUGUAAAAUUUGCACAUCUUUAUAAUGCGUCGAUGGGUUUCGGUGCUUCGUGUGUUUUUCUCGUGUUCGUCUGCUCUUGAUCGCAGGCGUUAGCUGUGUGGCCAAGAUGGGCAUCUCUAGCGUUUGUGGCGCACCGCUUCAUAUGUGCAUUUUGAAAGUAAUGUGUAUGGAAAUCUAUAAUAUGGUCCCUACCACAUGUUCUGGAUAAUGCUCAAUGCAUCCCAAACUCCAACAGACGGAGAGACGGGUCCAGUCGACUGCUUCUGUACACAGAGCUCCGUUGCGAGUGUCACGUAGAUCUUCAUAUAUGUAACUGUAUUUACACGUGAGCGACUCAUCUCUGUCGAACAGCAUGUCCUGGACAUUUGUAGUGCUUCAUUCCGGUAGCUGGUGUGCACAGAAGACAAAUUCUGCUUUUAUUUCUGACCGAACGUACUUGGAAGCCAGGUCCAAGAGAUGGGGAUCUGCCAAGGCGUCAACGCGGCCAUUCUCCAGGAGAAUCCUCUCUAGGGGUCGUUCUUCUCCUUCAAAAGCAGGAAGAGCUUCUGACUGCAGAAGUCAGAAUAGUUAGAGAC
rnacentral:lncRNA from 1 species